AAUAAGUGCACCACCCCUGUGUUUAAGACAGACGGACAGACAGCAGCUCUUCUCUGUGCUCUUCAGUCUUGAGUCUUUAAGAUGUCUGCAAACGCUCUGAUCAUCUGCGCUCUCCUGCUCUCUGCUGCUGGUUGUUUUGCAGAGAUUAUCCUGACUCAGAGUCCGUCAGUGGAUCUGGUGUCUGUGGGAAGCAGCGUCACUCUCAACUGCAGGUCCAGCAGUACUGCUGUAACAAACGGUUUAGUCUGGUAUCAGAAGAGACCCGGACAAACACACAAACUCCUGUUUUACUAUCUUAAUAGCAGAGUGUCUGGAGUUUCUGAAAGAUUCACUGAUGAGAAAUCAGGAACAAACUUCAUGCUCAAAAUCAGAAAUGUCCAGCCUGAAGAUGCAGGAGAUUAUUACUGUCAGCAGUAUGCUCAAUUACCAAGGACACAGUGAUACAUAGCCGUACAAAAACCCACAGCAUUAAAAGAGGAACU